GCCAACCUGGUUCGAGGCGGAAUUCGAAUUGAUACGCCAGGAAGCAGGAGAUAAGUUCCUUCCCUCGAUUCCUCCCAUUCUUCCUUGUCUCUCGGUCUUCGCCCUUUGUUUGGUGGUAUUAUCUUUCUCUCUUUUAUAUAUAUAUAUAUAUAUAUAUAUAUAUAGAGGUGCGGAAGGAGAGGGAGGAACGGUUUUACAGAUAUAUAGAAAGAGAGAGAGAACGAGAGAGAGGUGCUCCUACCGCCAUGAAGGUUACAAGUGCGGUCGCAAUUGCGUCGACGGUGAUCACUGCCGCCGCCUCGUACUCGACUGCGUUGUCCGGCUCGCUCUCCGACUCCAGGGCCCAAGGUCCAAGCCAGGACUCAGCGUCUCAAUCAAAGCAGGAGGAGCAGCCGCAGCCGGGAGAUGGAUUCGCUCCCAGAUUCGACGGCCUGCGGUUCAUCGAGACGCUCAUCACCGCACAUCGAUGAGAUGGAACGAAUAAGAAAGGUGUUCCUUGA